AUCAAGGUGAUCUGAAGUCUAAACCCAACACUGAGGGAAAGCAGGUUUCCUCUAACAGGACAUCAAGGUGAUCUGAAGUCUAAACCCAACACUGAGGGAAGAAUAGUUUCCUAUAACAGGACAUCAAGGUGAUCUGAAGUCUAAACCCAACACUGAGGGAAGGCUGGUUUCCUCUAACAGGACAUCAAGGUGAUCUGAAGUCUAAACCCAACACUGAGGGAAGAAUAGUUUCCUCUAACAGGACAUCAAGGUGAUCUGAAGUCUAAACCCAACACUGAGGGAAGAAUAGUUUCCUCUAACAGGAC